rnacentral:lncRNA from 10 species
CGGAGCGGCCGGGGUGCGCGGUAAAGAUGGGGCGGCGCGGCCGGGGCUCGCCAGCACCAGCCCUGGAACCCCAUGGGGGACCUCGACAACAGCGCCUUUGCGGCGUGGGCCCCUUUCUGCAGCUCCUCCACCCGCGCGCUGUCGGCUCCGGGACACUGGGGCUUUGAAGGGCGCCAGUUCCCAGCCGCACCUGCACGCCUAGGAGGGCGCAGGCCGCGUGUCCCUGUGGGAGGAAGGCCCCGGCAACCUGCAAAGACCUCACGUCACAGAAACUUGCGGCGUUUGCCCCCGAUGCGCGCGUCAGGUGCUCCGUCCCUUCCAGGUGGCAGAGGAGAGGGAAGGGUCGCGCCUGGUGGGGGCCUGAGAGCCACCGGGCUGCGGUGCGCGAGUGUGGACACCGCCCCGCCUUCUGCGUCUACAGCCCUGGGUUCUGGGACCUUUGGAAACCGCUUUGGACGAAGCUGAGCAUCUCUUUCCCCACGCUGACCUCCCCCAUAGACUCCGGAUGGGAGUAAAUGAGGCUCCUGGGAAAUCCAGAAACUCUAGAGAAGCUUGUUUGCCAAACCUUGCUUUGGGCGGUGGAGACAGAAUAUCAUGUCCCAGAUCAGCGUGUGGUGACUGUGGAGGCAUUUACACACAGCACACUCCAGCUCUGCCACUGGGCCGGCUGAGGUGGCUGCGGUACACGGCGCCCAUCCUGAGCCCCAGGUUCCUCACAUGUCAACAGCAUGAAAAGUGCCUCUAAGACAUCCACAGGUGUGCAGUGUUAAAGCAGGUGAGUGUCCUAGUGUAGACUUAGCGGAGUGGGGCUAGGGCUGCGGGUAGUGGGUGUUCCGCCCCCGGCUUGCUACCCAGUCCUCCCUGUCCCUCAGAUCUGGCCCCAACCCUCAGGCAGACCCGUGUCUUCUCUUCCACCCCCUCCCUCCUCCUCCCUGGCACUCAGCCUUGCUCUUCUACUCUACCCUCCCUCCCCAGGCAGCGCCUCAGCUUGGUUAGCUCCCUUAAGGACUGCGGCUCCCUUAGGACAAGGCUCUGUCCCUCAGAGCACUGAGUGCGAUCUCAUGCUGGCAUCUUAGAGACAUUGUAUUCACCAGGUAAGAUGGAUUCACAUCUGCUGGGUGCACGAACACUUCCUCCUUCCUUGCCACCAGCCAGCAUCACAACCAGCCUGGCCAGGCUCCCGUCCCAGCCCAGCCUAGCAGCUAACCCCAGCUCCAUCCCCCAGCAAGCCCCUCUGCCUGCACCUCAGCUUCUUCAUGGAAGACGAGUCAGGUCAUGAUGCCACCAGGGAGCGUGUUUCCAUGUUGAACUGAGACACUAAGCCCUUGACAAAUGUUGGCCAAGAAAAAAAAGGGGCUCCAAGAGGGGAGCUGUGGCUCAGGUAGAAGACGGUGAAUGAGCAUUGCCUGAAUCAGAGUUAGCUACUCUGGUUACACAGGUGUCCCCGGCAGGUUGGUCAAAAGCCCUUCCCUGAGUCCCGUGAUAAGUGUGGGGAGGGAGGCAAAUCAAAGACCCCUACACACCUCCUGCAUGGAUGGCCAGAGCGCUGGUCCCACCUCCUUCCUUCCAAACUGCAACCCCGAUCAGCACAGCAGAGAAGUCUCCUGUGGCAGGGACCAGUAAUUCAGUGCUUCCCCUGGAGAGUCUGGGAUUGCACAGAACACCAGAGGCUGGGGAUUUAUUUGUUCACCAACAUUCAUUCAACAAACACUUACUGAGGCCAACACUGGGAAUGGAGACGAACUUCCCUGUCCUCAUGGAGCUUGCUUUCAAAAGGGAAGGAGGCAGACAGUAAACAAAACAAGCAAGUCAAUAUACAGCAUGAUGCAGAAAAGGUGUGAUGCCACCCUCUUGCCUGAGUUUAUAACAAGCAGAUGAUGUUGUCCUAAGAAUUAAUUUCAGCCGGUGAAAGAGUACAGGCAAAAAACGUGGUCUCGGACUUUCCGGUGAUGCUUAAGAACAUAGUUGCAGUUUUUGUUCUGAUUCUUUGUGCAUCUCGCGCUAAUGAAGGAUUCUGCCAUGAUUGCCACCUCUGGAGACGUCACAGCCAGCACAGCCAUGACCAGGGAUGAACUUGGCCAUUGUCCAGCAGCACCAUGGGAGGACCAGCUGCUGUAAGUGAAGGUCAUCAUCCAUCUGAUUUGCUGGCUUUUUGCAACUACUGCGGUGGAAGUCUUAGAGUAGCCACCUUCUCUGUACUCAGACCUUCACUUCGCCAGAUGUCAGCACAGCAGUGUCAGCAGCUUCGUCAAACACAAACACCACCACCUCUCUGGAUCAGAAGCACAUGGAAAGCCCACCUUGCAAGAAGACCCAGCUAUUCCAAAAGUACCCAUAUCCCUGUAGCAUCCUCUUAGCUGAAUGUCUCUACUCCUUAAACUUGUACCACUUUGAAGAGUAAAAAUUUAAAUUCAUUCAUAUUAUCAUUUUUUAGUUUUUAGUAUAAGUGGAGCUGUUUAUCGGCCAUUUGUAUGUCCUUUUCUUUUUUUUGCAAAUUACUCCUUUGCCAAAUUUUCUCUCAAAUGACUCAUCUUUUUCUUAUUGAUUUGCAGAAGCUAUUUACAUAUUAUGGAUGUGGGGUGUCUAACAUACACAGCAAAUACUUUGUCCCAGUGUGUCACUUUUUAAAAAAAUUCUUAUAAUGUCUUUCAUCUUUAAAAAAUUAUUAAGCUAUUGUGAGCUUUUAUGCCUUUUCAGUUUAUUUUCUUACAUAGAUAAUUAUAUGAAGUGCAAAUAGGGGCAGUGUUAGUCUCAUCUUCCCAAGGCUGCACCUCAGAUGUGGAAUGUUGACAGCAACAUCUGUUACCUUGUUUCUGUUUUUAGGAUUUUAGCGUUAAGGCCAGGCAUAAUGGUUCAUGCCUGUAAUUCCAGCACUUUGGGAGGCCGAGGUGGGCAGAUCACUUGAAGCCAGGAGUUCAAGACCAGCCUGGCCAACAUGGAGAAACCCUCUCUAUUUUUAAAUACAUUUAAAAUGUUAACAAUUAAAACAAAAUAUUUUACCGUUAGUAUGAUGCUUGAUACAGGAUUUCUGGUACAUACGCCUUAUCAAAUUAAAUAAGUUUCCUUUUACUCUUGUUUAUUGUUAUUUU